UCGCCGGCUCCUCUAUCUAUUUUGUGUCCAGCCGGGAGCCGAGCUCGAUGAUUCAUUGCCCCAAUUAGGGGCUUUCUCCUGCGCGCCAGGCUCGAGCCGUCUGAAGGGUCUCCUCAGGGACCCGCGGAAACCCAUCAGCCGCUGGAGCUGGUCUUUAAGUAAAGGUCAAGCAGGACGCGGGAGGACCCAGGCCAGGUACCUCUCCUGCACUGGCCUAACGGCACUCAUGGAGAGUUCCCGUUCCAGGAUGGGCACUGCCUGCCCCUGACGGAAUCUUAGGAGCCUGGGAUGGAGCUGGGCCAUGUGGGGGCUUGUCAGUACAGGAUUUCUGUGAAGGGGAAUGAGAUACUACGUGGAAGGACUGAGCCCAGGGCUGGGCUCACAAUCCCCAGACUGAAAGCUGGAGAUGCUUGGGGGUUCUGUCCACUUAUUCACAGAUGUGGCUCUCUCCCCCAUGCCUGGAACACUGCCUGGCACACAGUAGGUGCUCAACAAACAGUCUUCAAUUCAUGAAAGCCUAGAUUUAUGUCAUGAUCUCCCCAGCUUCCCAGAGAAAGAAAUCAAGAGAGGUUAAGGAACCUGCCCGAGGUCAGCCACCAGGCUAGCAGACUUCCGAGCCCUCGGGGCCAGCUUUUGUUCUAGAAUCUUCUUGAGGCCAGCACUGUGCCUACACUGAGGAGAAGGAUCCACAGAGCCCUCACAGAAGGUGAAGACCGAUGUCCUUACUUCCAAGCCCUCCUGACCAGUUGGGUGAUCUUGAAUGGGUCACGACCCCUCCCUGAGUCUGGGUGUUUCACCGGUAAUGUGGCAAUAACAGCACUUGCCUCUCUGGACAUUGAUGGCUGAACAAGACGCCCAGUGUGCUGGCCCCGCACAGGCUGGCACACAGUAAGUGCUCAGUUAACAGCGGCACACAGUAAGUGCUCAGUUAACAGCAGCACUCCGUUCCCUUGACUGUUCAGUGGCCACCAAGGUGACCCGAUCCACAGGCUAGGGAGGUGGUCAAUUUCUCUGGCAAUGGAAAACACAGCCCACGGAAGCCCUUUCCUCCUUGCAGCCUGACUGAGGGCCAGGGGAGACCCACAGCUGAGUGGUGUCAGCUCUCAGGGGGAAGGACACUUUCUAGGUGAGGUCACGGAACUCAAAGUCAUGCAUCCAGACUUCCAGCCAGCUCUGUCUAGUUUCCCCCGUGGAGUAUCGCUGUGGUCCGCAGGAAGACAGCAGGGUUCAGGAGCAUUUUGUAGGUGGAUGGAAACAUCCUGAUCUGUCCUUGGCUCUGCAGUAACAAGGAUCCCAGGGGCAGCUCAGUUUCCCAGCCUGGCCAGGUGUGGAUGGGCAGAGCGGGGACAAGGUGCUCCAGGUGCAGGGACAGAGGGACCAAAGAGACUAGGGGGCUCAGAGAAAGAAUCCUCCAGCCACCCCAGGGCAGAAAUCAGGUCCCUGACACCCAACUGCAGCCCAGGCCCCGCCCCAACCCCUUGCAAUCUGGGGCCGGCUGGAUCCAGGCCGUGGGGAACACAUCCUGGCCACAGGAGUCAAUGACAGGAAGUGCGAUGUGACCUUGGCUGGGUUUGGAGGCUGCCUCCGGCCAGGCUGUGCCUCUGGGUACUGUGGCCUCAAACUGCAGAGCCUUCUGGAGAGGUGGCAGGCCAUAGUCAGGGUGGGAGGCCCCUCGCCCCUGGCCGGGCUGGGCAGCAGGGUGUCCUCCCUUUGAACACUGUGCUCCCUGGCCCCCUGACACCCAUUUACUGAGCCCCCUCUGUCUGCUCAGCACUGGGUGGACACUAUUUGUAUAAAUAAAAUUCUGUUUU